UACAGAGGUCCCGAGCGUUGUUCGGAUUCACUGGGCGUAAAGGGUGCGUAGGUGGCUGGGAAAGUUUGAUGUGAAAGCUCAGGGCUUAACCCUGAAAUGGCAUUGAAUACUGCCUGGCUGGAGGUUUGGAGGGGGGACUGGAAUUCUUGGUGUAGCAGUGAAAUGCGUAGAUAUCAAGAGGAACACCGGUGGCGAAGGCGGUUCUCUGGGCCUGUACUGACGCUGAGGAGCGAAAGCGUGGGGAGCGAACAGG
rnacentral:rRNA from 1 species